rnacentral:lncRNA from 1 species
AUGACCUGCAGCAGCGAGGUGCCCAGGCCGGCCAGGAUGGCCCAGGUGAGCGGCAGCGGCAGCAUACUGUAGGUGGCGAAGAGCGUGAAGAGCACGUAGCCUAUGCCGUCGCCCAGGAGCCCGUAGCCGAGGCCUGCUGCCAGGAUCUGGGUGGUCAUGGCCACCCAGGUGACCACGCCGCUGUACUGCAGGAAGUGCCUAAAUGAAAACUUGAAGAAUGGUGGUGAACUGCUU